UGGGCACUGAACUCAAGACCCUUGGA
rnacentral:piRNA from 1 species